rnacentral:rRNA from 1 species
UUUUUAAUUGGGGUCUUGUAUGAAUGGUUGGACAAAAGAAAUACUGUCUUUAUGUUAAAAAUUGAAUUUAACUUUUAAGUGAAAAGGCUUAAAUAUUCUAGAAAGACGAUAAGACCCUAUAAAGCUUUACAUUAAAUUGAUUUAUUAUUAAAUUUAUAUAAUAAAAAUAUGAUUUAAUUAUUAUGUUUUGUUGGGGAGAUAAUAGUAUAAUUAAAAUUAACUGCUAUAAAGUUAGACAAUUAUAGGUGUUUAUUGAAGGUUAUAGGUCCUUUUUAAAGAUUAAAAGAUUAAGUUACUUUAGGGAUAACAGCGUUAUUUUUUUUGAGAGCCCUUAUCGAAAAAGAAGAUUGCGACCUCGAUGUUGAAUUAAAAGAUCUUUAUAAUGAAGUGGUUAUAAAAGAAAGUCUGUUCGACUUUUAAAUUUUUAC